rnacentral:rRNA from 1 species
AGCGAACGUUAGCGGCGCGCCUAACACAUGCAAGUCGCACGAGAAACGGAGCAAUCCGCGGUACAGUGGCGCACGGGUGAGUAACACGUGGAUGACCUUCCCUGGAGUGGUGGAUAACCUGCCGAAAGGCGGGCUAAUACAGCAUGGGACCACGACGCUUUGGCGAUGUGGUGAAAGCGGGCCUCUAUAUAUAAGCUCGCGCUCCGGGACGGGUCCGCGUCCCAUCAGCUAGUUGGUGAGGUAACGGCUCACCAAGGCAACGACGGGUAGCUGGUCUGAGAGGAUGGCCAGCCACACUGGAACUGAGACACGGUCCAGACUCCUACGGGAGGCAGCAGUGGGGAAUCUUGCGCAAUGGGCGAAAGCCUGACGCAGCGACGCCGCGUGGCGAAGAAGGCCUCGG